CCCUUAGAUGUUCUGGGCCGCACGCGUGCUACACUGAUGCAUUCAACGAGUCUAAACCCUGGUCUGAUAGGGCUGGGUAAUCUUUUGAAAGUGCAUCGUGAUUGGGAUAGAUGAUUGCAAUUCUUCAUCUUCAACGAGGAAUGCCUAGUAAACGCAAGUCAUCAGCUUGCAUUGAUUACGUCCCCGCCCUUUGUACACACCGCCCGUCGCUCCUACCGAUUGAAUGAUCCGAUGAAUACCAUGGAUUGAGAGUACGAAUAGGUUCGCUUAUUUCUGCUGCUCGAGAAGUGGAGUAAAUCUUAUCAUUUAGAGGAAGGAGAAGUCGUAACA
rnacentral:rRNA from 1 species